rnacentral:rRNA from 1 species
UGGCGGACGGGUGAGUAACGCGUGGGUAACCUGCCUUACACAGGGGGAUAACACCUGGAAACAGGUGCUAAUACCGCAUAAGCGCACAGGGCCGCAUGGCCCGGUGUGAAAAACUCCGGUGGUGUAAGAUGGACCCGCGUCUGAUUAGCUUGUUGGCGGGGUAGAGGCCCACCAAGGCGACGAUCAGUAGCCGGCCUGAGAGGGUGAACGGCCACAUUGGGACUGAGACACGGCCCAAACUCCUACGGAAGGCAGCAG